UACGAAGGGGGCUAGCGUUGUUCGGAAUUACUGGGCGUAAAGCGCACGUAGGCGGAUUGUUAAGUUAGGGGUGAAAUCCCAGGGCUCAACCCUGGAACUGCCUUUAAUACUGGCAAUCUCGAGUCCGAGAGAGGUGAGUGGAAUUCCGAGUGUAGAGGUGAAAUUCGUAGAUAUUCGGAGGAACACCAGUGGCGAAGGCGGCUCACUGGCUCGGUACUGACGCUGAGGUGCGAAAGCAUGGGGAGCGAACAGG
rnacentral:rRNA from 1 species